rnacentral:lncRNA from 1 species
AGUCCCUGGAGCUGCAAACUGCCCUCAGGGCAAAGAAGCCUGCAGAAUAAUUGGGAGGAGUCUGGCAGGAAGGAAGCCAAGUUUCCUGAGGCCCUCACCAGAAGCUCAUCAGAAGCAGAUGCUGGCACCACUCUUCUUAUGCUGUCUGCGUAACUAAUCAGUAUUUCAAGCAUCCAAAAUGUGUAGGAGAAUAUGGACCCAAGAACGGAGCAGAGAGACAAAUAGAGGAACGGAAAGUUUUGCCUACAACCAUGAUGUUCUCAAUGUUAGCUGACUGUGUUCUAAAAUCCACUCCAAUUCCCAUUUUGGGAGUUGCUAUGUGAUGAAGGUCUGCCCCUGUGGUGUUGGGACAACUUGCUCAUGGAGUUGCAGUUCUUGCCUAACAGGAACCCACCAUGAAAGCACAAGCAAGAAUGUGUGAGAAGAUCACAGAGACCUAAAGAAGGGGAAGGGAAGAACCCACAUGUGAGAGAGAAGAGAUUGUCUGACUUGGUCUCUUAGGGCUCCUCAUCUCAAGAAGCCAGCAGGCAAGGGAAGGACAAACCAUCCUUGCAGGAAUAAUUCGUACUGAUCAUUUGGAGGAGAUUCGGCUAGUAUAGCUGCUGUUACAUAAUGAAGAAAAGGAAGAAUAUGUUUCAAACUCAGAUGAACCACUGGGGAGUCUCUUGAUACUCUGUUGCCUAAUUUGGAUGGUUAAUGGUCAGUGUUCCUAAUUGCACUGCCCCUGGAAAACGCACGGAGAAGAAAUACAGCAAAAUACAUGAGAUGGUGAAACACUCUGGCAACUGCAAGCGGACAGAUGGGAUCUGGGAGGUAAUGCAGGGUCACAGGGCAGUUACACCAGGAUAUUUGGUUCUUUCCUACUCUCCUUUCCCCACCCUCAAUGCUAUAUACAUAACUGCUAGUGAAUCAAUUUAUGUACAUAUCCCAGAUAUCUAGGACUGGUUGAGGCGGGUUAUCCAAGAGAGUCACAGUGUAUUACCAUUUUUUAUUAAGUACAACCAGACCAACAGAGAACUGAUUAACUCAACCACUGAACUUUAUGUUUUCCCCCAUCAUCUAUAGAAUUGAUUUUACUGGAUUUUGACAUGUCAGUUUAUCACUUACUUUAUCCUUCAGUGAAGGACACACUAAGGAAUGGAGUUAUUAAGCUUGUUCUACUGGCUGUGAGGAUGUUGUUGAGGGACAUUGUUCAUGACGUUAUGUUGUGUCAUUUUUAUGAGGACUCAAUGGAAGGACUUCUGUCUGAUUUCAGUACUGGAAGUAGUCAUACUUCUCCUGAGCAACCAUUUUCUUUCUCCGUUAUAAAAAUCUCAUUGUCUCUGUGAA